GUUUAAUCGUGAGUUACAAGAUUUGGUUCUUAAAUCCAAAAUUCUUUUAUUACUUGAAAAAAUCAUCUGCAAUUCCAAUUUCUCCAAAAGGAUUCGAGAACAGUGCGCUUUUGUUGUUGCAGCUUUGAUUCGAUUUAAUAAAGAUGUUUUCGUGGGUCAAUUUCUAAUAGGUCCCCUGAUUCAUGCUCUUGUAUCAAUGGCUUCCUGGAAAUCAAUGAAAGUACUCUGUACACUUAUCAGGCUAAUCAAGUCACCUCUGGCAGACGAGAUCGAGUCCAAUGAAGAAAUACCCAAAAUCAUUAGUUUCUUGGACCAUAAAGACCUGCAACUUCGAGUUCUAACAAUGGAUUGCAUUCUUGAAAUUGGGUAUUUUGGUCGCAAAGAGGCAGUAGAGGCUAUGCUCGAAGAAGGGUUGAUAAAGAAGCUUGUGGAGUUGCAAAGAUCAGUGCUUGGUGGUGAUUUGAUUGACAUGGGAAGGUUUGAUGAGAAAGAAACUAAUAAAACGGAAAC
rnacentral:misc_RNA from 1 species